rnacentral:rRNA from 1 species
CCUACGGGAGGCUGCAGUGGGGAAUAUUGCACAAUGGGGGGAACCCUGAUGCAGCGACGCCGCGUGAGUGAAGAAGUAUUUCGGUAUGUAAAGCUCUAUCAGCAGGGAAGAAAAUGACGGUACCUGACUACGACGCCCCGGCUAACUACGAGCCAGCAGCCGCGGUAAUACGGAGGGGGCAAGCGUUCUCCGGAUUUACUGGGUGUAAAGGGAGCGCAGACGGCUGUGCAAGUCUGGAGGGAAGGGCGGGGGCCCAACCCCCGGACUGCUCUUGAAACUGUAAAGCUGGAGUGCAGGAGAGGUAAGCGGAAUUCCUAGUGUAGCGGUGAAAUGCGUAGAUAUUAGGAGGAACACCAGUGGCGAAGGCGGCUUACUGGACUGCAACUGACGUUGAGGCUCGAAAGCGUGGGGAGCAAACAGGAUUAGAUACCCGAGUAGUC